rnacentral:rRNA from 1 species
UACAGAGGGUGCAAGCGUUGUUCGGAAUUAUUGGGCGUAAAGCGCGUGUAGGCGGCAUUGCAAGUCGGAUGUGAAAGCCCACGGCUCAACCGUGGAAGUGCAUCCGAAACUGCAUGGCUGGAGUCUCGGAGAGGAAGGUGGAAUGCUUGGUGUAGAGGUGAAAUGCGUAGAUAUCAGGAGGAACACCGGUGGCGAAGGCGGGUCUCUGGGCCGAUACUGACGCUGAGGAGCGAAAGCGUGGGGAGCAAACAGG